rnacentral:tRNA from 1 species
GCGCUGGUGGUGUAAUAGCGUAUAGCAUUCCCGUUCGAUCAGCAGGAGGUGAGGGUUCGAGUCCCGCCUGGCGCU